GAUUAACAUCAGGCUGCACUUCAGCGUUCUGGUCAGUUCUGUGGGAUUAACAUCAGGCUGCUCUUCAGCGUUCUAGUCAGUUCUGUAGGAUUAACAUCAGGCUGCUCUUCAGCGUUCUGGUCAGUUCUGGUCAGAUUAACAUCAGGCUGCACUUCAGCGUUCUGGUCAGUUCUGUGGGAUUAACAUCAGGCUGCACUAAAUUUGCCUCGGGAUUAAUAAAGUAUCCAUCCAUCCAUCCAUCCAUCGAUCCAUCCAUCCACUUCAGCGUUCUGGUCAGUUGUGCGGGAUUAACAUCAGGCUGCACUUCAGCUGGGCAAAAACCAACUGAUGCGAUGAGAAUAUUCAGAAGGGCAGAGUUUUAGACGCGUAACUGGUACGAAAAACCUUGUCGAUUUGAACUCAGUAGCUCCUAAAUGCUGAACCUCCAUUGGUUGUUCUCCAUAGCUUGCUUCUAAAUGUUCUCAAAGAAACUCAUUUUAGAUCAGGCUUCAUUUUGUAUUUUUGAUGGUCCUAAAAAUAGGACGAAAAACUGGAAGACUAUUUAAAAUAUAGACUUUUGAAAUAAAUCACUGUUUAAUUUUAAGACACACCAUCCAAGAAAUUACAGAACACAUUCACAAGCCAUUUUUUAUUGAUGGGUUAAAGAUUUUCUUUUUUUUUUUUUUUUUUGAGAAGGGGAGCCUUUUUGGCACCGGUUACAAAUUCUAUAAAGCAGCAUUUGAACAUUACAUAUCCAAUAUUGCACCCUUCACUGGAGUAAAUAGGAGUUAAACAAUAGUCAGCACCAAUUCUAAUGACUGAAAUCAGAUUGACAAGUUACAAUGAAAACCAAAAGAACAGAAAUCAUUCCAUACAGAUUCUCUUUUUUUUUGACUUACUAAACGUGAAAGUUCUACAUUUCUACUUUCCAAUAAGAAGCUUGCCCAUUUCUAAAGAUUUCAAAUCUGAUUUGUAAAAAAAAAAAAUCAUAUACAGGAGAGAUGGUGGGGUGUGAGAACGCUGUCGAUGACAAGAGUAGCCAUCCGAGGGCUAACACACUGGGCAGGCAGGCUAAGGUCUGCAGCUGGUAAUGAGUGGAGAAACGUCUGCAGUACUACACACACACACAUUCACACACACACGCAGUACUACACACACAUUCACAUGCAGCACUACACACACACACACACACACACACACACACACACACACACACACACACACACACGCAGUACUACACACACACACAUUCACAUGCAGUACUACACACACACACACACACACACACACACACACACACACACACACACACACACACACACACACACACACACAGUACUACACACACAGACACAUUCACAUGUUGGUUGCCAAGUCGACUGGGCACAGAACCUCCUCAAGCACACACUGCCCCAAUGAAAUGUCUGGAAAAAGGCACCCCCACACUGGGGUGACGUGUGCACACACACACACACACACACUGAGGUGACGUAUGCACACACACACACACACACACACACACUGGUGUGACGAGCACAGUUGCACACACACAGGAACACAUAUUCUGACAGUCAUUAAGUAGAAUUACUCACUCACACACUCUGAGAGUCAUAGAGCAGGAGACCUUACACUCACUCACUCACACACACACACACACACACACACACACACUCUGAGAGUUAUAGAGCAGAAGACCUUACACUCACUCACACACACACACACACACACACACACUCUGAGAGUUAUAGAGCAGAAGACCUUACACUCACUCACACACACACACACACACACACACACUCUGAGAGUCAUAGAGCAGAAGACCUUACACUCUCACACACACACACACACACACACACACAAACACUCACACACACACACACUCUGAGAGUUAUAGAGCAGAAGACCUUACACUCACUCACACACACACUCUGAGAGUUAUAGAGCAGAAGACCUUACACUCUCACACACACACGAACACACACACACACAAACACUCACACACACACACACUCUGAGAGUUAUAGAGCAGAAGACCUUACACUCACUCACACACACACUCUGAGAGUUAUAGAGCAGAAGACCUUACACUCACACAUGCCCAUUCUCUGUGGAAUGUCUGCAUCAGUCUCUGCCUUUGUAAACUCUGAGAUACCUAGAGCUCUGGCCAUGCAGGUCUUGUGUCAUGACACACAGACACACACACAGGAGCACAGUUCAUUUCUCAGGCUGUGGCAUGGCCUGGCACAGGUGGCGUGCAUGGUUGAGUGGGUUGAACAGGUGCCAUAACCCUGGCCUUCACCUGUGCCAACCCACGGGCCUUGGCACACUUCCCAGCUCCUGCGCUUGAAUGACGCAGAGGCGACAGGCACUCUCCUCCUGGUUGCAUUAACCCAAAUGGGCCUCGGUGACGCAGAGGAACCCGUUCCAACCGAGGCGGGUGAAGCCCGCCAUGCCAACGCGCUGGUAAAGGAAUGCACUACUUGUACCCGAGAGAAGUGGAUUGGUGGAAAAAACAAACAAGGGCAAACGUACUAAUGACCUCAAAUAUUUCUGGCCUAACUUGACAGAAUCGCUUUAGUUGCGCAGAACAAGAUAGUGAUAAAAAGCACUGGGUAAAAAGGCCUAGCAACUAAACCUACCGAAGCAAAAUCAAAAAAAACAUUCUCAUGGAGAGCGAGACAUGAAUUGUUUGUCUAUGCACUGAGAAAGCACCAGAACUAUACAAGGGAAGGUCCACAGAAAAGAACAGUAUUCUGCCAGAGAUAUUGCUAGUAUUUGCUAGAAUGGUUUGACAUACGUCUCAUACUUGGGGUGAUAUUUUGACAAGAGAUGACCUGAAAAACAAAAUAGUAUGAAAUGUCCUUUGAUGUUACCUGUAUAGGCUGUUCAGUUUGAAAAAUAGAGCCAUCAGAUGUAUAAUAUUUGUAUAGCUUGUGGUAAAUACCCUACAUAGUGCAAAAACUACCAAAGCAAUGGAUAGCUCAAACCAUAACACAAGACCAAGGCAUAAAAGUAAAAAUGUCAUUAGGGGAAGGGAUUUUUUUUUUAAUAUUUUGAAUUUCUAAAAUUGAAAUUACCCGAAACAUCCAAAGCUGAGAACAUGAAGCAAUUUUCUUAUACAUAACUGAAAGUGUUUUAAAUUUUAACAAUCUGUGAAGCUUAGAUUACAGCUCACACAUGUUUAAAAAAAAAAAAAAAAAAAAUGAACCCUGGUGCAUCUCUUUCUAGGAAAUGAUUCAGUAAAAUACAAGACCCACAACUCAGCUCUGUAGCAUUCUUGAAAGAAAGGCAGUUUUAAUGGACAAAAGGAUGUGCAACAGCAAGGGAACCACUUACAGUGCUUGGCUUUUCUUUUUGGUCAGUUGGAUAGAUGGACAGAACUCAAAAAAGUCAGUUUACAUCCAGUCAGUGUCAUCCUCAGACUGAGCUUGUAUCUGACGACCCCAUGACCUCCACCAUCUCCUUCAACAUUGCCAGAAACACGGCUCACCAUUUUUUUCCCCCCCAAGACAAUCAAUCAGACACCUCCUGGAGGCGUUGUGUUACAGAUGCAUAAUUAAAAAGGAAAAUUUGAAUCACAAAUGAAAAAGAAAAAAGUCGACAAAGUAGUUGAGUAGUAGAGUCCCACCUAGUCCAGUCCAGUCCAGAAGCCAAAAAGGAGGGGAGUAGGAAAAAAAAGAAAGAAAUUGAGGAAAGACAAACCACCUCAGUUUCUGUGAGUCUAGAAAGUUCUUUGAACCACACAGGCCUGUGUGUGACGGAGUGCACGGGUGUGUGUGUGUGUGUGUGUGUCUGUCUGUGUGUGUGUGUUUGUGUGUGUGAAAACCAUGUCAAGCUAUAUACAGUGUGUGCGAUUUAAAGAGAGAUACUUUCUAAAGUCCCGACUCCCCCAGAGCCCGAGGAAGGCUGUAAAAAAUGACGUUUUUUUAAAAAGGUAUCCUCCACCGAGAGAGACACACACACACACACACACAUACACACGCGUGUUCCGGAUGACUGAUGCGUGGCUCCUCCGAUGGGCGGGUUGUCUGUUCAGCUAACGCAUCGAACUCAGCAACACAGUGUCCUGUCCUGCGGCUCCUUGAGUUGCCAAAACAAAAACCAGUUAGGAGGAAUUCACAUCAGACAUCCUACCUGCAAAGAAAAGAAACAAGACACGUCGAGUAAAACUCCCCCAAAAGAAAAGGCAUCACACACACACACACACACACACACUCAGCAUCAUCACAGGGCGACUCAGGAUCACCCACAAAGCCUCGGGGCAGCAGAGGCCGGCGGGGGCCCACCUGAAGGACAGCCGCACGACCAAAGUGUGACCGGGAACGGGCCACCUUUUAUGGAGGUUCUUAUUCCGUUUUGAUGGUACGUACUAAAGCCCCUGUAGCUGAACUGCUAGAAGAACAAAACCAAGGUCAGGGGUUUGAACCCCAGGGAGCAUCCACACUGAUGAAACACUGCACUUAAAGUCGCUUUGAAGAAAAGUGUCUGCAGAAUGAGUAGAUGUAAAUGUAAAGCUUGAUCGUUCUGUCCCUUGUACGUCGCUUUGGACAAAAGCGUCUGCUAAAUGACUAAAUGUAAAGCACAGCUGGUGAGCACUGGGGUGGAUUUAUGUCGUGACCUUGUGAGUUGGAGUCUCAUGAUCCUAAAUGCUUGACGGACUCUUGGUGAAGGCCCUACGUCAAACAUUAAAACGACUGACCAAGGAGAGGCAGCGCUGUGAGGUCAUACCAAAGGAUACACAAACACAACGCUAAUCAUUUUCAGACGCCUUUGGUGCGGCCCUGUGGCCUAGCGCAGACUGCUAAACGCAUUUUAAUAACGACGGGCUGGAGGACGUCAGAGAGAGGGGGCACGGAGUCUGAGCAGUUCUAAGGAGAAAUCCAUGGAAUGAAGACAUGAAGACAUAACAGACAAGUUGCAUAACACAUGCUAUUAUGAAUGUGCUGCGUGUGGACGGCAGAAACCAGUCGGAGUUUUCAUCAACACCCAAAGGAGAUUAAAGGACAACUAUAAAAAAAAUGUUAUGGGAAGUCUGGUGGGUGAGAAAACUGUUACAGUGACCGAGAUCUUCAACUGGGCAAUAUGCUGUCAGUCUGUUUAUCAUUUUUAUUAUAUGGAAUUCGUACAGUGGACUUUGUGUACUGAACUGUAAAUACUCUUGACCCCCCCUGAUAUAUUUUUCUCAUAUCCUCUCAGGAAACCAUGUACAGGGGAAAAAAAGUCUUACUGUUCAUCCUGCAUUAACCUUUAUAGUUCUGCGUAUGGCCUUACUGACCAUAUAAAAACGUACUAGGACGUCUGCACCAGACUUCCCACCCCUGGUAUAAGCUUUUUUUCAUAGCGUUUCAUAGCUAAAAAGAGUGUCUAUUUCAAUUCCACACAGCAUAAAAGAAGAGAACAAAAGACUCCUGGUGUCCAUACAUGAGCAUAUAAAGAAUGACCUCAGACAGAAAGGAAGACAGAAAAAGCUCAUCUAAACAUCCUGAAGCUCAUUUUAAGAGGACAAACUAAAAGCUAUUAAACGAGUCUGUUCAGUUACAUAAGAGCGUUCACAUAAGCAUACAUGUAAAAUGUACUCAUUUUAAUGGCUAGGUCUGAGGCAUUGUCAUGUAAAGAUUUAACAUACAGUACCAGUCAAAGUUUGGACACCCCUUACAUUUUUUUGAGAAGUGUUUACUUUACUUUUAUUAUUUUCUACAUUGUAGAUUUAUACUGAAGACAUUUAAACUACGAAAGAACACAUAUGGAAUGAUGUACUAAACAAAAAAAGUUGUAUCUACCAUGUAGAAAAUAAUAAAUUUAAAGAAAAAUCUUCUCAAAAAAAUGAGAAGGUGUGUCCAAACUUUUGACUGGUACUGUACAACGUAGCUAACUGACUGAAAGCUAGUCUUCUGAAGGCUUGUUCCAUUCCAAGACUCUCAUUGUGCCUGAGCCUAACACAGGAUCACGUUUCUUAAAUGUACCCCUGGCUGAGCAUGAAUGACCUCACCUGAAUGACCUUGCCUGGGGCAACCAGACCACUGAGAAAGCCUCUGAUGUGCUCAUGUGGCCCGCGGGUGACAGCGCCGUAUCCCUAUCUGCACGGGCUAGCUGUUUUAAGCUAGCCUGAAAAACAAGCGGCUUGAAAACAUUCCAAUCAUUCCCUAAAUCAGCUUCGCACGAGGUUAAGCCACUCUUGGAGAGGCUGCCGUGCACGCACCCUGUGAUUUUCUUUGUUUCAGAUGUUCUGAUGUUGGACGUGAGCACCUUCUCGGGUGAUUUAGUGUUCCUUGCGGAUUCGAAAGGGAGCUAGAGGCACGUUGGCACAUCUGUGUUUCAGGUGUGCGCUGAGAGACAGCGCUGCUGCCAUGAACAGCGCUCGUGUGAGGAACAGUUUGAGGAACAGUUUGAGGAACAGUGUGACGCGGCAGAGAAAACAGUUGAGUGUUCUUGUAAACAGACCUACUUGACAACAUAUGCUGACCUAAGCAGUUUUAACUUAAGACAUCAGAAAGAGGGAAUGAGCAUUAGAAAAUAAAGCCUUUAAAUGGUGCAAUCCGUGAUUCUGAUACAAUUUCUGUCCAAUUCGGUGAAUUGCUCCAGUCCUCUAGCUGUUCACUCUGUGUUUGUACACAGUCAUCUAGCU
ensembl:lncRNA